rfam:Felis catus isolate Cinnamon breed Abyssinian chromosome B1, whole genome shotgun sequence.
GCCUGGGUAGCUCAGUCAGUUAAGCGUCUGACCUCGGCUCAGAUCAUGAUCUCACCAUUCGUGGGUUCCAGUCCCUCAUCAGGCU